GCAGCCGCGGUAAUACGUAGGGGGCGAGCGUUGUCCGGAAUGACUGGGCGUAAAGGGCGUGUAGGCGGCCGAUUAAGUCUGGAGUGAAAGUCCUGCUUUCAAGGUGGGAAUUGCUUUGGAGACUGGUUGGCUUGAGUGCGGAAGAGGUAAGUGGAAUUCCCAGUGUAGCGGUGAAAUGCGUAGAGAUUGGGAGGAACACCAGUGGCGAAGGCGACUUACUGGGCCGUAACUGACGCUGAGGCGCGAAAGCGUGGGGAGCGAACAGGAUUAGAUACCCC
rnacentral:rRNA from 1 species